UGCGUAGGUGGUUUCUUAAGUCAGGAGUGAAAGGCUACGGCUCAACCGUAGUAAGCUCUUGAAACUGGGAAACUUGAGUGCAGGAGAGGAAAGUGGAAUUCCUAGUGUAGCGGUGAAAUGCGUAGAUAUUAGGAGGAACACCAGUAGCGAAGGCGGCUUUCUGGACUGUAACUGACACUGAGGCACGAAAGCGUGGGGAGCAAACAG
rnacentral:rRNA from 1 species